CGAGGACGACGCUGGCGGCGUGCCUAACACAUGCAAGUCGAACGGAGCUUGACCCUUCGGGGUUAAGCUUAGUGGCGGACUGGUGAGUAACGCGUGAGGAACCUGCCUAGGAGUGGGGAAUAACAGUCCGAAAGGACUGCUAAUACCGCAUAAUGCAGUUGGGUCGCAUGGCUCUGACUGCCAAAGAUUUAUCGCUCUUAGAUGGCCUCGCGUCUGAUUAGCUAGUUGGUAGGGUAACGGCCUACCAAGGCGACGAUCAGUAGCCGGACUGAGAGGUUGGCCGGCCACAUUGGGACUGAGACACGGCCCAGACUCCUACGGGAGGCAGCAGUGGGGAAUAUUGGGCAAUGGGCGCAAGCCUGACCCAGCAACGCCGCGUGAAGGAAGAAGGCUUUCGGGUUGUAAACUUCUUUUAUCAGGGACGAAACAAAUGACGGUACCUGAUGAAUAAGCCACGGCUAACUACGUG
rnacentral:rRNA from 1 species